GACGAACGCUGGCGGCGUGCUUAACACAUGCAAGUCGAGCGAGGUCCAACCUGUCGCAAGACAGGUGAAGACCUAGCGGCGAACGGGUGAGUAACACGUGAGCAACCUGCCCCGAAGACUGGGAUAACACCGGGAAACCGGUGCUAAUACCGGAUGCCCUCAGAGAGUCGCAUGGCUCAGUGAGGAAAUGGAUUCCGCUUCGGGAGGGGCUCGCGGCCUAUCAGCUUGUUGGUGGGGUAACGGCCUACCAAGGCUC
rnacentral:rRNA from 1 species